rnacentral:rRNA from 1 species
UACGUAGGGGGGCAAGCGUUGUCCGGAUUUAUUGGGCGUAAAGAGCGUGUAGGCGGCCAGGUAGGUCUGCUGUGAAAACUCGAGGCUCAACCUCGAGACGCCGGCGGAAACCAUCUGGCUAGAGUCCGGAAGAGGAGAGUGGAAUUCCUGGUGUAGCGGUGAAAUGCGCAGAUAUCAGGAAGAACACCCGUGGCGAAGGCGGCUCUCUGGGACGGUACUGACGCUGAGACGCGAAAGCGUGGGAGCGAACAGG